UGCUCUUCUGAUCGAGACCAUUCUGCUUUAGGUGGUGCUCUUGGGUAAUUCUGCUUUCUCUGGAAGGCGAACUUCUUGUGACUGGUAAUUUACCAAAGGGUGACAUGUGUCUGUUUGAAGGCAAGGCAGAGGGCUCUCCCACUCUCUCAGGGUUUCUUCUAUACCUCUCUUUUCCCAAGGACACAUACAAUUUAAUAUCAUUUUAAAAUACAGGACAAAAAAUGAUGAAUCUUCUUGUGACUCAUGUCUGAAUUUUAUUCAAGUGGCAGGUACUAGCAAAAAGAAUCUUAAUGAAAACUCUCCUACAGUAAAAGGAAAAAACCAGGUGCAAAGACUGGCUGACAGUCUUGCAGAAUGAAGCAUCACAUGCACUUUCCCAGAGCACUGGCAGAACAGAGGUUUCCUCAGCUGUCCUGGAGGGUGACCCUUGACCCAAAGAGCCACCCAUCUUGUUUGAGGCAGAUGAGUUACUACAAAAAGAUUAACGAAGCAUUCAAUUUGACAGAUAUACAUUCUAAUUCAAUAAAGAUGUAUUUAUCAAAUAUCUAUUCAGUACAAAUAUAUUGAGAAACAGCCAUUUGCUAGGCCAGGUGUUGAGUGUUGACUUGUAACUUGAUUCACAUCAAACGUGGGCAACAUUGUCUUCCUAGGAGCUAAUUUUGGUAGAUACUUAUUCAACAGAAAAUGGGUUUCUUGCUUUAUCCAUGGCCACUAUUAGGUCACAAUAGAAGAAACUCUUAGUAACUUUGAAUCCAGGUAAAAUUAAAUCAGCAACUCAGAGGUGAAAAGAGCUAUAUGUGUGCCCAUGUCUCCCCAGAGACCCCUCUCCAAGUGGCUCUUUCUGUUUUACAAAUCCCUCCAUUCAUCUUGUUUAUUUCCCUCCACUGAAUUCAUAUUCCUGUUUGGUUGCUUUGCAGAUGAGUAUGAUAUCAUGAAUUGAGGAUAAUAGCUUCAGGUGGAGAAUAAGAAGUAAAAAAAAAAUCAGCUAAUAGUUUCAUUUAAAUAUCCUCAGUAGUAAAGAGCGGGAAGAGGAAACCUAGACAAUAUAUAAUCUAGGAGCUGAAUUAUUUUCAAAUGGAAUAAUUUUCAGAGUUCCACAGAGCGACAGUAGCUCUUAAAUCACAUGAAGGGAAAAGCUUAUUUCAGCUUCUGGGUGUGUGUGUGACUUUUUUUGCUCCCCAAAGCUAGAAUUGCUCUGAUAAUCAGCACACAGAAGGGUUGUCCUGCUGGGACUAAAUUAUAAAUAAGGGAAACGUUCAGCACCCUCAAAGGAUUUUACCUGUGAUAAUAGUGCUUUCCAUCUUUAAUACACUUCACUUUUAUUAUAGGAUUAUUGCUUUCAGCCCCUCUUUUAAAUGUGCAGUUUUGUCAGCAUUAUAUCUCAUACAGAUAAAUAACAUUAAAUGGGGCUACAGUGAUUAUUAAACAUAGCAAGUGAAAUCUUGUACAUCAUGGUGCCAAUAUCAUUUAGGUGUCCAAAAGAUAGGACAACUUCUUAUAUUAAGCAAUAAACAUCUUUUGUGUGAUGAAAAUAAGAAGAGGCUGAAUUCAUCGUGUCAACUGGGAUAUCAAUCCUGGGACAUUUGAGGUGACUAGUACGGAUCUGACAUAUGUAUACAGGGGUAGACAGAUUGUGGUUUCAUUCUUUUGUGGAUGUAUAAAAACUGACACAAGAAGAACAAAUGAAUCACUAUGUUCAAAUGGUGAAUAAGUAUUGGGACAAAAGUAGCCCUGGAAAUUCUUGUAUCUAGAAUGAUGCUACCUCCUUAGAAAGUUCAGUAUACUAUCUGAAUCAACAAGUAUUGACUGAUAACAUUAGGUACAAGUUAACCAUACAAAACUUCCCGCUAGAGUAUUAAGGUUCAUUUAUGUUUAUAGAUCUAAUAUUGUUUGAUCUUCCUUAUCAGGGACAGUGUUCUACUGCAAUUUGCUUGAUGAUCAUUCUACUACACGUUCAUUGAUGCUCAAACCAAGAAUCAAAAACUGUAAACCCUCCCGCCACUACUGGCUUUUCUUUUGAUUCAUCUAACUCUGUGUCUUCUGUUGCAUAUGUACUGACUUGUGGGUGGACAGCAUCUGCCAUGACCAUGACCAUUAGCAAAUGUGAGAAACAUGAGUGCAUUGGAGUCCUGUUCAUUCCAGAGUUCCUCCUUGGUGGGCUUUGUUGGUCAGCCCAUUCAAUAUUGGACACUCGGCCUGGCUGCCUCUCUCAGCAGGUUGUCUAGGAUGUUCUGAAUAAGAAUUGCCCCACUGAGUCAGCUUCUGAGUGUUUGAACUCAUAUUCUGUUCCUCAUGGGAUUUCUUUACAGACUUCAGUCUUCAAGCUUAAUAUCUACCACAAAGACCUUCUUUUAAAAAUACCUUGUCUAUCUGUUACCCAUGAAACUUCUUAACUCUCUUUUGAGGUACGUUUAUUUCCAGUCUAAACUAACUCUUAAAGUAAUCCCUAAAUUCUUACGUUGUGUAAUCAUGCAUAAAGUAACAUAUUUAAAAAAAAUCUCAAAUGUAUCUUUUUGAGGGCUCUACGAGGUACAUCCAACCCUAACAUAAAGGAAGCAGGUGGAUGCAUUUACUUUCUAAUCCAAAUAUUUCCUAGUUAUAGAUAACACUCUUUGUACCACCUCCUCUCAAGAUUAAAAGAAGUCCUAAACAAUAGAGAGGAUCUACUAAAUUUGUGUAUACUAUACAGUUGUUCCUCAUUUCCAUGGGGGUUUGGUUCCAGACUCUCCCUAAAAUACCAAAGUCCAAGAUGCAAAAGUCCCUUAUAUAAAAUGUUGUAGUAUUUGCAUUUAACCUAUGUAAUUCCUCUGUAUACUUUAAAUCAGCUCUCGAUGACUUACAAUACCUAAUACAAUGUAAUGCUAUAUAAAUCAUUGCUAGCAUGUGGCAAAUUCAACUUUUGCUGUUUGGAACUUUCUGGAACUUUUUUCCAAAUAUUUUUGAUUUGUGGUUGGUUGAAUUUGCAACCGUGGUAGAACCAAGACAUACUGAGGGCUGACUGUAUAAAGAAAUGUUUCCCUGGAGAUAACCGUUACUUACGUUUCCAAGGAAUAGUUUUUUGAAUCCAUCAGAUCAAUUAGCUCUAAUAUGAAAACACAGCCCUAAGUCUGGUUGGCCUUAAAAUCUAUAGUCUUCAGGGUUUUUUUUUCUUAUCUCCUUAUGCAUGUGCUUAUAAAUAGUUCAAAUGCUUAAAAUUCACACAAUUUCAUCUUUAUGCAUUUCCCCAGUUUGGUUUUAUUCAGUUAAAUGAAGAAUGAUCCUACAGCUUAUACUGGCUUCCUCCUGUUUCUCUGUUAUGAUAAUAAAAUUAAUUGGUAUAUAGGUCCCAGUUUGGAAGAAUGCAGGUAGAAGUAAGAGACAUGUAUAUAGAGAAAGUGAGGGGGAAGAAUUUACUACCUCAUUGUUGCCAGUGAUGUUUUAAACCUCUUAAGAAACAGAUUUUGAACUUUUACCCACAAUCCCAUUUCAAAAGUCUGGGAAGACUGUUAUUUUGCCAUAAUGAUUUUUCUGCAUUAGUCUAAAAGCCUAAAAAAAAAAAGAGGUGAAAAAAUAGAAAAUGGAAUGACAACCUGUGUGAUUUUUUUCUAUUGUUUUCAUGUUUAACAGUUAGAUAAGUAACGUUUCUUUAACUUGUAAACCCUCCCUCCAUCCCCACCUGCAGACACACAAGAAUUUUUUCAGAAAAAUAACUGAGGUGAUUAAACAAAGGUGGUUUUCAGAUGUUAUAUUAUGAAGAAGUGAAACAAAAAUUACUUCAUGAUCAUGUUUAUAGAAGAACCAAAAAAUGUCUUAAGCGGUUCAAAAAGAAAAGCCUGUGCUGUGGACAACAGUUUCUUGGAUGCUAUAACCUGCCAUUAUUCCUGUUUAUCAUAGAGAUACACUCAUGUGCAGAUAUAGAUAUAGGUAUAGAUAUAAAUGUUGG